UAGCCCAGUUCCCUUCUUCCCCAUUCCAGAAUUUAGAAGUUGUCACAACUCUCGGUGUUGGUGGGUUCGGAAGGGUUGAGCUUGUUAAGGUAAAAAUGAGAACAUGGCAUUUGCUAUGAAGUGUAUAAAGAAGAAACAUGUAGUGGACACCAAACAACAAGAGCAUAUAUAUUCUGAAAAGAAAAUCCUUGAGCAGAUAUGUUCUCCUUUCAUUGUAAAACUGUAUCGCACAUUUAAGGAUAGUAAGUACGUGUACAUGCUGCUGGAGGCUUGCCUUGGUGGGGAGUUGUGGAGCUUGCUGAGAGACAGAGGCAGCUUUGAUGAACCCACUACAAAGUUCUGUGUUGGAUGUGUGACAGAGGCUUUGGACUAUCUACAUCACAUAGGAAUUGUCUACAGAGACUUGAAGCCAGAAAACUUAAUUUUGGAUGCUGAAGGAUAUAUAAAAUUGGUUGAUUUUGGAUUUGCAAAAAAGAUCGGAUCAGGGCAGAAAACCUGGACGUUCUGUGGAACCCCUGAGUAUGUUGCUCCAGAAGUCAUUCUGAGUAAGGGCCAUGACUUCAGUGUGGAUUUUUGGUCCCUUGGGAUUCUUGUGUAUGAGCUCCUUACUGGCAGCCCACCAUUCUCUGGGGCUGAUCAGAUGACAACAUAUAAUUUGAUUCUAAAAGGCAUUGAAAAACUGGAUUUUCCUAGAACAAUAACAAGGCGGCCUGAGGAUUUGAUCCGCAGACUCUGCAGGCAGAACCCGACAGAAAGAUUAGGCAAUCUGAGGAAUGGGAUUAAUGACAUUAAGAAGCACAGGUGGUUGAAUGGUUUUAACUGGGAUGGUCUGAAAUUGAGGAAAUUAGCAUCACCUUUAAAAAGAGAGUUAUCCGGACCAACUGAUUACAGCUACUUUGACAGCUAUCCACCUGAAGAGGGAAUGCCUCCAGAUGAACUUUCUGGCUGGGACAAGGAUUUCUGAUAGUUUUUUCUUCCAGGACAUCUAUAGAGACUCAUGGGCAUCAGUUCUAAACCUGUUCUUGUGUUUCUUGCUUAAAACCAAAGUACAUGAUGUUAUUGAAAAAUGUUAUGUUCCCUGGGGAAUAGAAGACGGUACAGCAACCAGAACUUGUCUGGAUAUUGCACCAAAUUCUGUGUGCAUCUCCUUAUAACAAAAGCAUGCAGAUGCAACCUGAAUAUUUUUUGAUAUGCAAUAUCUCCAUGAGCAUUUUCUGACACUAUGGAUGGGAUGCAUGGUUUUGCCAUUGGGAAUUUCACUAGCACAUAUUUUGAUAUCAACAAGGCUACCACAUGUCUUUAUUUUGAACAGAGAGAAUGAAGAUUAUGGGCCCAUACCAUUAUGGGAUUUGUCAAUACCUGACACUACAGGCAUUUAUUUUUCAUUUUAUAAUGAGUCUACUGUGUGUUUUGCUCUUUCCAGUAAUGGGCAGUUCUGCAUUGAUCCAGAAGCAUGUAGAAGACUUCUUCUACAAGACUGAUUUGACUUGAUGCUGCAGCUUAAAGGGUAUCAGCGUGGAAACCGCCUCUCUAUCAGUUUAGUUCUGCACCAGGUUGAGUUUGUGAAACAGGGUACAACAGGUCAAAUGGAAAUCCAGCAGGGAACUAGGUAUUUUGCUGUAAUUAUGAAAUUUGCUGAAACAUCGAUGCUAAAACUCAUACUCAUUUUGAUGUUCCACUUGCUAUCACUGGAUACGGAUACAUGUGGGUGGUAGGCAUAAAUGAAAAAAGGACAGCUGCUGACUUGGUAUUUCCCAGUGAACUAGUAUCCCAGAUGAGUUUUACAAUCUCCUUGCAGGUUUUUCAGGACAUGAUCAGGCAGAGACAUGAGCAACUCAAUUUGGACUCAGUGUUGACCCUUCUCUGAGUUGGAAUGGAGACCUCCCAUGAUCCUGUGAUCCCAGGAAUUAAUUUUAACAGUCAGCUACUUGCAUCAUUACAAUAUAUCAUGACACUUUUCCCCAUAUGAGUUUGUAGAUGCUUAAUUUUUGUCACUUAACAUCUCUAUUAUUAGAACAGAAGAAUUCUUUUGAAAUGUUGAUUGGAUGAUAAAUGCAGUUGGGUGUCGAGUGCUCAUGAAUUAAACAUAGAACUCUCUUGCGUCCUGCUAUGAGGGCAUGGCACCUUCCUGGGAAUCAUGCUGGUAUUCUUGCAUCAAUGCGUCUGUAGCCUCUGAUAGAAAUUGGUUCAGUUCCCAACCUAAAUUAAGAUAUUUAAACUGCCAUGGCACACUGCAUUUCAUGUGCUGGAUGGAAAACCUCCCAGGAAACUUGUGAAGUGUGCUAAGGGCUUCUUAACUGACAAUGGCUGACGGUUAUGACCUAUCCAACUGCGCGAGGAAGGGUCUGCCAUUUAGGCUGUCCAUUUUCCCUAUUUUUGAUGAAUGAAAGGAUCAGACCUUCCACUUCUGAGGUCAGUGUCAAGCUACUGCUUGCCCUUAGAUAGAGUGUAAGAAGCUGGGGCUGUAUUUGAUGUGGAACAUGUGCUUUGGUUUUUGAGGGGGAAUUGCUCUUCACUGAACCUCUGCCUGAUGAGCUGUUGAAUGUGCAGUAGUAGAACAUUUAUUUGGCUGUUUUAGGCAGAAAUCUAAAAAAAUGUUUUAAUUAAAAAUUGUAGGAAACAAGGAAAUCCUUGAACUGAUGUAUUAAGUGUGUAGGCUAAUUGAUUUGUUCCAUGUUAACAAAUGUUUCUUAUUGCUGA